rnacentral:snoRNA from 1 species
UUGCCGUGAUGACUACUAGAAUUUAUGAAAUUUUUUAUGAAACAUUGACAACCAUGUCAAUCUGAGCGGUUACCUGAGCAA